CUCGGCAACGGAUAUCUCGGCUCUCGCAUCGAUGAAGAACGUAGCGAAAUGCGAUACUUGGUGUGAAUUGCAGAAUCCCGUGAACCAUCGAGUCUUUGAACGCAAGUUGCGCCCGAAGCCUUGGGGCCGAGGGUACGCCUGCCUGGGCGUCACGCAUCGCGUCGCCCCGUCCCCCCCCGCUC
rnacentral:rRNA from 1 species